CUGCUGUACUGCCUCAUGUAGCUGGUUUUCCAGAAGUAUUUGUUGGAUGGAUAGAAGAAGAAAAGAGAAGAAAGGAAGAAAGGAUGGAGGGCUUAGCUGAGGGACACUUCCCAAAAUCAAUCAAGAGGCACUGGCAAGAGAUAAGAAGACUGGAAAAAGAGAUUUCUGCUUCUGACUCUGACAGAAGGGUAGUUGCUGGAGAUUGCUAAAGCGGUUUCAUCUGGCUCAUUCCGGAUUUCUGGAAUUGGCAGCCUGAGCCAAUUCCAGACAUAGCUGCAGCGGUACCUCAUUGGUGGGUUCAGGACUGACUUCUCCAGUGUCCUUCUCCUCUGAGUAUCACCUUCGCCUGCUUUUACCCUCCAGCCCUCCGAUUUCUUUGUCACCAGCUUCCUGACUCUUCAUGGAGCCAGUGGCUAUCUGACCUUUCUGAGUUGCAGUUUCCUCAGUUCUGAAACUGGGUUAAUUAAUACACAGGGAUAAGAGGAAAUGAAAUUAAGACUUACAGAAAUCCUCUGCACUAGAAAGGUGGUAGUAAUCCCCU
rnacentral:lncRNA from 10 species